rnacentral:misc_RNA from 1 species
AAUUAAAUGCUACCUCGAUGUUGAAUUAAGAAAAGAUCUAAUAGAAAAAAAUUAGAUUAUAGGUCUGUUCGACCUUUAAAUUCUUACAUGAUUUGAGUUAAGACCGGUGUAAGCCAGGUUGGUUUCUAUCUUCAUAAUAGAAGUUUUUAUAGUACGAAAGGACCUAAAAACUUAAUUUUAUUAAUUAAUUAGCUUAUACAAAGCAAGUAUUUUGAAAAUACUAGAAAGAUUUAAAAAUUUAUUAAUUUUAUGU